AAACCGCUUCAUACACAGUUCACACACAGAAGCUCAAGAAAAAUGGCUUCUUGUGUUCCUUCUUCUCAUCAUCUCCUCUCCUCUAAUCCUACAAUCAGUACAGUGCUUUUCAACAAUCAUCGUUUCUCUCAGAUUUCCACCGCCAAGGCCUGUUCCUCCCGGUUCAGGUGCUCGGCGUCCGGUCAGACCGGGUUCUUCACUCGUCUCGGCCGGUUAAUCAAGGAAAAGGCUAAGAGCGACGUCGAGAAGGUCUUCUCCGGUUUCUCAAAAACCCGGGACAACCUCGCCGUCAUCGACGAGCUCCUCCUCUACUGGAACCUCAACGAUACCGACCGCGUCCUCGACGAAUUAGAAGAGGCUUUGCUGGUGUCUGAUUUCGGGCCAAAGAUCACUUUUAAGAUUGUGGAUAGGUUGCGGGAAGAUAUAUAUGCUGGGAAGCUCAAAUCAGGGAGCGAGAUAAAGGAUGCUUUGAAGAGCAGUGUGUUGGAUUUGUUAGUUAAGAUAGAUAAUAAAACAGAGCUUAAACUUGGAUUCAGGAAACCAGCUGUGAUAUUGAUUGUUGGUGUCAAUGGAGGUGGGAAGACGACAUCUCUUGGAAAGCUGGCCCAUAAGUUGAAGAAGGAAGGAGCUAAGAUUUUAAUGGCAGCUGGCGAUACAUUUAGAGCAGCCGCCAGUGAUCAGCUGGAGAUUUGGGCUGAAAGAACAGGGUGUGAGAUUGUUGUGGCUGAAAAAGAGAAGGCCAAAGCAUCAUCAGUUAUUUCACAGGCUGUGAAAAAAGGGAAACAACAAGGUUUUGACAUCGUUUUGUGUGACACAUCUGGACGUCUCCAUACUAACUACAGCCUGAUGGAAGAAUUGAUUGCAUGCAAAAAAGCCGUCAGUAAAGUUGUUCCUGGAGCACCUAAUGAGAUCUUGCUAGUUCUGGAUGGAACAACUGGUUUGAAUAUGCUUCCACAAGCACGGGAGUUCAAUGAAGUCGUUGGAAUAACUGGUUUGAUUUUGACAAAACUUGACGGUUCUGCUAGAGGUGGUUGCGUGGUUAGCGUGGUUGAUGAGCUUGGGAUCCCUGUAAAGUUUGUGGGUGUUGGUGAAGGAGUAGAAGAUCUCCAACCCUUCAGUGCAGAGGAAUUUGUUAAUGCCAUAUUUUCAUGAGGCUUAAAAAGUGGUUCGUCUAUACAAUGCAGCAGAAGUUCAUAGCAGAACAAACGCAACAAAGCAAGCCCACGCUAGUGUGUACACUCUUCUGAUGUCCGAGUGAAGCAAUGGGUUAUACCAGAGAUUAGAAACUCUGAUGCUGUACGGUGAACAAAUCCUGUUACAAACUGGUUGCAUGACUACAGUGUGCAGGUUACCUGCUCUAGUUGAGUCUGUACCCAAUUUUUUUUUAUUUUCUUCCCCUUCGGAUUAGCUGGUGGUAGCGAUAACACUAGAGAUAAACCAAAAGAUGACCUCAUUCCCUGUUGAUCAGCUUGUUACUGCCUUCGUUCAGUCGCUGUAAUCAGUUGCUUCUACAACGAAUAUACAGACCUAUAAGUCAAUGGGCCAUUAGUUCAAUGGUAUACCCUUCCUUAUCCUUAAAGAGGAGGGGAUGGUUCGAGUCCUGGUGUGUGCAAGGUGUGUAACACUUACCCGAUCCAUAUAUAUAUACCCUCGUCAAGGAAAUCAAAAUCCUUAUUAGCCUUGUUUUUCCAAAGAGGUUAAUAUAGCUCAUGAUGCAAUUGGUAAUUCACCCCACCGGUUGAAUAAUAGCUUCUUUUCGCAAGGGUGGGAACAUACAGAAGUUACAUUUGACUGGAAUUUAGUGUGA